GGGGGGUGCGGAAGGAUCAUUACAGAGUUCCUGCCCUCACGGGUAGAAACCCCACCCUUGUGUAUAUUAUAUUGUUGCUUUAGCAGGUCGCCCUCUGGGGCGUCGGCCUCGGCUGACUGUGCCUGCUAGAGGACCCUAAACUUUGAAAUACAGUGUCGUCUGAGUACUAUUUAAUAGUUAAAACUUUCAACAACGGAUCUCUUGGUUCUGGCAUCGAUGAAGAACGCAGCGAAAUGCGAUAAGUAAUGUGAAUUGCAGAAUUCAGUGAAUCAUCRAAUCUUUGAACGCACAUUGCGCCCCUUGGUAUUCCGGGGGGCAUGCCUGUUCGAGCGUCAUUUAGACCAACUCCCGCUCCGGCGGGGUCUUGGGCUGCGCCUUUGGGCGGGCCUUAAAACCAGUGGCGGUGCCCUAAGGCUCUACGCGUAGUAAUUCUUCUCGCGAUAGGGUCCUUGCGGUGUCUUGCCAGCAACCCCCAACUCUCUAGGGUUGACCUCGGAUCAGGUAGGGAUACCCGCUGAACUUAAGCAUAUCAAGCCG
rnacentral:rRNA from 1 species